UGCAAACUUCAUAUCAAAAGUAAAAGCGUCAUUCGCGCGAGCGUUUGCUCCGUCUUUUGCUUCCGUUUUGGCUUAAUUUAAGCCGAAGCCAUCGAACUGCCGAUUCCUGAUAAGCAGAUUUCGGUGUCAACUAUCAGGAUAGCCAAUUUUAUUUCUUGAGUAUUUUUGGCAAAAGCAAUUCAAGAAAGGAUGCAGGUUUUUUGCUUAUUAUAAAGCUUGUAUUCUGAAAACAAAUAAGCUAAGCUUGUAGAAGAUUUUUAAAUCACAAUUUUGGACGCGAGUGCAAUUCUCGCCAACUCCACUC
rnacentral:tmRNA from 1 species